AUUGAACGCUGGCGGAAUGCUUUACACAUGCAAGUCGAACGGCAGCACGGACUUCGGUCUGGUGGCGAGUGGCGAACGGGUGAGUAAUGUAUCGGAACGUGCCCAGUCGUGGGGGAUAACGUAGUGAAAAUUACGCUAAUACCGCAUACGAUCUAUGGAUAAAAGCGGGGGAUCGCAAGACCUCGCGCGAUUGGAGCGGCAGAUAUCAGAUUAGGUAGUUGGUGGGGUAAAGGCCCACCAAGCCAACGAUCUGUAGCUGGUCUGAGAGGACGACCAGCCACACUGGAACUGAGACACGGUCCAGACUCCUACGGGAGGCAGCAGUGGGGAAUUUUGGACAAUGGACGAAAGCCUGAUCCAGCCAUUCCGCGUGCAGGAUGAAGGCCCUCGGGUUGUAAACUGCUUUUGUACAGAACGAAAAGGUUUCUACUAAUACUAGGAGCUCAUGACGGUACUGUAAGAAUAAGCACCGGCUAACCACGUGCCAGCAGCCGCGGUAA
rnacentral:rRNA from 1 species